AACGAACGCUGGCGGCAUGCCUAACACAUGCAAGUCGAACGAGACCUUCGGGUCUAGUGGCGCACGGGUGCGUAACGCGUGGGAAUCUACCCUUGGGUUCGGAAUAACAGUUAGAAAUGACUGCUAAUACCGGAUGAUGACGUAAGUCCAAAGAUUUAUCGCCCAAGGAUGAGACCGCGUAAGAUUAGCUUGUUGUUGGGGUAAUGGCCUACCUAGGCGACGCUCUUUAGCUGGUCAGAGAGGAUGAUCAGCCACACUGAGACUGAGACACGGCUCAGACUCCUACGGGAGGCAACAGUGGGGAAUAUUGGACAAUGGGCGAAAGCCUGAUCCAGCAAUGCCGCGUGAGUGAUGAAGGCCUGAGGGUUGUAAAGCUCUUUUACCAGUGAUGAUAAUGACAGUACCUGGAGAAUAAGCUCCGGCUAACUCCGUGCCAGCCGCCGCGGUAA
rnacentral:rRNA from 1 species